rnacentral:rRNA from 1 species
GCAGAUUGUGCUUUUGGCGAGGCGCCUUCCGAGUUCCCUGGAACGGGACGCCACAGAGGGUGAGAGCCCCGUCUGGUCGGCCGCCGAGCCUCUGUAAAGCACCUUCGACGAGUCGAGUAGUUUGGGAAUGCUGCUCAAAAUGGGAGGUAUAUGUCUUCUAAAGCUAAAUACCGGCCAGAGACCGAUAGCGCACAAGUAGAGUGAUCGAAAGAUGAAAAGCACCUUGAAAAGGGGGUUAAACAGUACGUGAAAUUGUUGAAAGGGAAGCGCUCGCGACCAGACUUGGGCCCGGCGGAUCACCCAGCGUUCUCGCUGGGGCACUCCGCCUCGUCCCAGGCCAGCAUCGGUUCGCGCCGGGGGACAAAGGCGGCGGGAACGUGGCUCCCUCGGGAGUGUUAUAGCCCGCCGUGCAAUGCCCUGGGGCGGACCGAGGAUUCGCGCAUCUGCAUGGAUGCUGGCGUAAUGGUCACCAGCGACCCGUCUUGAAACACGGACCAAGGAGUCGUCUUCGUAUGCGAGUGUUCGGGUGUCAAACCCCUACGCGUAAUGAAAGUGAACGCAGGUGAGAGCUUCGGCGCAUCAUCGACCGAUCCUGAUGUUCUCGGAUGGAUUUGAGUAGGAGCAUACGGGGCCGGACCCGAAAGAAGGUGAACUAUGCCUGUGUAGGGUGAAGCCAGAGGAAACUCUGGUGGAGGCUCGCAGCGGUUCUGACGUGCAAAUCGAUCGUCA